rnacentral:rRNA from 1 species
GACGGAGGAUGCAAGCGUUAUCCGGAAUUAUUGGGCGUAAAGCGUCCGCAGGUGGCUGUUCAAGUCUGCUGUCAAAGCGCAGAGCUUAACUCUGUACAGGCGGUGGAAACUGAAGAGCUAGAGUAUGGUAGGGGUAGAGGGAAUUCCCGGUGUAGCGGUGAAAUGCGUAGAUAUCGGAAGGAACACCAGUGGCGAAAGCGGACUUCCUGGUCCAGCAC